UACAGAGGGUGCGAGCGUUAAUCGGAAUUACUGGGCGUAAAGCGCGCGUAGGCGGCUUUGCAAGUCGGGUGUGGAAUCCCCAGGCUUAACCUGGGAACUGCAUUCGAGACUGCAUUGCUAGAGUAUGGGAGAGGGAAGUGGAAUUUCCGGUGUAGCGGUGAAAUGCGUAGAUAUUCGGAGGAACACCAGUGGCGAAGGCGGCCCACUGGCUCGACACUGACGCUGAGGCGCGAAAGCGUGGGGAGCAAACAGG
rnacentral:rRNA from 1 species